rnacentral:rRNA from 1 species
GACGAACGCUGGCGGCGUGCCUAAUACAUGCAAGUCGAGCGAGCGGAACUAACAGAUUUACUUCGGUAAUGACGUUAGGAAAGCGAGCGGCGGAUGGGUGAGUAACACGUGGGGAACCUGCCCCAUAGUCUGGGAUACCACUUGGAAACAGGUGCUAAUACCGGAUAAGAAAGCAGAUCGCAUGAUCAGCUUUUAAAAGGCGGCGUAAGCUGUCGCUAUGGGAUGGCCCCGCGGUGCAUUAGCUAGUUGGUAAGGUAAAGGCUUACCAAGGCGAUGAUGCAUAGCCGAGUUGAGAGACUGAUCGGCCACAUUGGGACUGAGACACGGCCCAAACUCCUACGGGAGGCAGCAGUAGGGAAUCUUCCACAAUGGACGCAAGUCUGAUGGAGCAACGCCGCGUGAGUGAAGAAGGUUUUCGGAUCGUAAAGCUCUGUUGUUGGUGAAGAAGGAUAGAGGUAGUAACUGGCCUUUAUUUGACGGUAAUCAACCAGAAAGUCACGGCUAACUACGUGCCAGCAGCCGCGGUAAUACGUAGGUGGCAAGCGUUGUCCGGAUUUAUUGGGCGUAAAGCGAGCGCAGGCGGAAGAAUAAGUCUGAUGUGAAAGCCCUCGGCUUAACCGAGGAACUGCAUCGGAAACUGUUUUUCUUGAGUGCAGAAGAGGAGAGUGGAACUCCAUGUGUAGCGGUGGAAUGCGUAGAUAUAUGGAAGAACACCAGUGGCGAAGGCGGCUCUCUGGUCUGCAACUGACGCUGAGGCUCGAAAGCAUGGGUAGCGAACAGGAUUAGAUACCCUGGUAGUCCAUGCCGUAAACGAUGAGUGCUAAGUGCUGGGAGGUUUCCGCCUCUCAGUGCUGCAGCUAACGCAUUAAGCACUCCGCCUGGGGAGUACGACCGCAAGGUUGAGACUCAAAGGAAUUGACGGGGGCCCGCACAAGCGGUGGAGCAUGUGGUUUAAUUCGAAGCAACGCGAAGAACCUUACCAGGUCUUGACAUCUAGUGCCAUUUGUAGAGAUACAAAGUUCCCUUCGGGGACGCUAAGACAGGUGGUGCAUGGCUGUCGUCAGCUCGUGUCGUGAGAUGUUGGGUUAAGUCCCGCAACGAGCGCAACCCUUGUUAUUAGUUGCCAGCAUUAAGUUGGGCACUCUAAUGAGACUGCCGGUGACAAACCGGAGGAAGGUGGGGAUGACGUCAAGUCAUCAUGCCCCUUAUGACCUGGGCUACACACGUGCUACAAUGGGCAGUACAACGAGAAGCGAGCCUGCGAAGGCAAGCGAAUCUCUGAAAGCUGUUCUCAGUUCGGACUGCAGUCUGCAACUCGACUGCACGAAGCUGGAAUCGCUAGUAAUCGCGGAUCAGCACGCCGCGGUGAAUACGUUCCCGGGCCU